rnacentral:rRNA from 1 species
UAGGGAAUCUUCCACAAUGGACGAAAGUCUGAUGGAGCAACGCCGCGUGAGUGAAGAAGGGUUUCGGCUCGUAAACUCUGUUGUUAAAGAAGAACAUAUCUGAGAGUAACUGUUCAGGUAUUGACGGUAUUAACCAGAAAGCCACGGCUAACUACGUGCCAG